AGAAUAUUUCCUUCCUUCUCUGUUCAGUUUAUAUGUUUAUUUGGUAUUCUCUCUCCACCCUACUACUAUCUGUUCUGAUGUCAAAUCGUUGUUAUAUUUCAAUGUUAUCUCAAUCUGGUUGGUUUGACUGAUACUUUCUGUUUCAAUAUUUUGCACGAGAAGUAGAAGUUUGCAUGGUAAGCUGUCUAUGCCUAUAAUUAUGAAGUAUCUUUGAUUCUUUCUUUACUUGCAGGAUGGGCAUGACUCUGAGAAUUCAAAACAAAGUACUGCUGACAUGACUGUUUUUGUGCAAAACCUCCUCCAACAAAUGCAAACCAGGUUUCAGGCUAUGUCUGAGUCCAUCAUCAGUAAAAAUAUCCUUUUAAAGCUCUUUUACUCUAUAUUGCAUUCUUUUUUAUAAAUAAUACC